GAUGAACGCUAGCGGCAGGCUUAACACAUGCAAGUCGAGGGGCAGCACGUCUUCGGAUGGUGGCGACCGGCGCACGGGUGAGUAACGCGUAUGCAAUCUACCUUUUACAGGGGCAUAGCCCGGGGAAACCCGGAUUAAUAUCCUAUAGUACCAUUAUAUAGCAUUAUAUUAUGGUUAAAGUUUCGGCGGUAAAAGAUGAGCAUGCGUCCUAUUAGCUUGAUGGUAAGGUAACGGCUUACCAUGGCUAUGAUAGGUAGGGGUCCUGAGAGGGAGACCCCCCACACUGGUACUGAGACACGGACCAGACUCCUACGGGAGGCAGCAGUGAGGAAUAUUGGACAAUGGGCGAGAGCCUGAUCCAGCCAUGCCGCGUGCAGGAAGACGGCCCUAUGGGUUGUAAACUGCUUUUAUACGGGAAGAAACACCCCUUCGUGAAGGGACUUGACGGUACCGUAUGAAUAAGGAUCGGCUAACUCCGUGCCAGCAGCCGCGGUAAUACGGAGGAUACCG
rnacentral:rRNA from 1 species